rnacentral:rRNA from 1 species
GCCUGAGAGAACUGUGAGACAUUCUCCGCAUGGUUGACAAAAGCUCGUGUUGUGAAUGUUGGGUUAAGUCCCGCAACGAUGUUCACCCUUUUCCUUUGUUGCCAGCGGUUAGGCCGGGAACUCAAAGGAGACUGCCAGUGAUAAACUGGAGAAAGGUGGGGAUGACGUCAGUCAUCAUGGCCCUUACGACCAGGGCUACCCCGUGCUGCAUGACAGAUACAAAGAGAAGCACCUCCCGAGAGCAAAGCAACCUCAAAAUAAAGCCAUCCAGAUUGGAGUCUGCAUCUCGACUCCUGAAGUCGGAAUCGGUAGUAAUCUAAACAAAUGCUACGGGGGAACCUUCCCGGGUCU